GCUAUCUCUCUCUCUCUCUCUCAAAAUAAAUAAACACUAAAAAAUAAAAUUAGAAUUUAGUCACACAUGGUUAGUGGUUACCAUAUUAGCACAGAUCUAGAGCAUGUAGAAAAUGUCCAUUUAGUAUAAUGGCAUCCUGGGCUUUCAAGUUUCCUUAUUUUUGGUUGGGAAGUUGAGGCAGGUUAAAUUUGAAAUUGAUAAUGGAUAGUAUUGCUCUUAGCCAUAGAGAAAGACUUCUUUAAUGAAGAUGUGAGUUUAUCAGACUUAAAUAUAUUAGAAGUGAACUUUUUUAAGAAGGUAAAUACUCAUUCCAAAAAUAAUUCCAGUAUAAUUAAUUGAACAAAUAUUUAGAAGAUAUUUCCUGUGUAUAAAGAAUCAUACUAACUGUGGAGGUCAGAGGUGAGUGGAACUUAGGUGGUCCCCUCAAGGAGCUUUCUAUUUGAGUUUCCGAGAGGCUCUGAUAAGCCAAAGGGUGAGCUCUGUCCUUGAGCACAGAAUGCCUCGUGGGGCAUUAUCAUCAGGAUUUGUCCUCAGUGCUUUACAGGAGGACUGGGUCCAUAACAGUACGAAGAGGAACUGUUUAUAUCUGGGAAUAUAGAGUUUCAUAUCAACUCUGACAUACAAGAUUAAUUUUGGUUGAGAGAGGGUUGAGGUAGGAUUGGGAUUUCUUCAGGUGUGCAAGAAGUCCUGCUGAGUUCCAGAUAUGUUUGAGCAGGCCCUUCGGGUCUUCCCCACUUCUGGGAGAUGGACUUUCCCAGGACUCUGGAAUGCUGGAGGAAGGGACAUUGGACAUGGACCCUUCCCCACCCAUGCGCCCCCUUACCUAGGUGAGGAGGAAUUCUUGAUAAUGCUGAGUUUGGCUCAACAACCAAGCGUGUCUAAUGGAGGUAAAUAUUCCCUUAAACAGAAAUACAGAGAUUGUUAGACAAGCCAGAUUUUUAAAAGUCACAGUAAGAAUCCAGUUUUUUUCCCCCUCCCAACUGGCAAGACCCUACCUGAGUUCACUUUGCUGUGCUCUUAGUUGGAAACCCAAGGGCGAAGGAAAAGCCACAGAAAAACAGGUUGCAUCUACUGCUACUGAACAGCCACCUUACAUGCUCUGUGUUUUUAGCUAAAUAAAUCAUGAACUUAUAGCAGAGAAGUGUAUGUUCCCACCAGUCUAUGACCCAUCUACAACCCUGUGCUUCCUACUGAGCCACUAACCAGAGCUCACUGAACACUGCUUGGAGUCAGGGAACUCGGAACCCAACUGUCCUGGGCCCUCUUUCUGGCAGUUGGGUGAGUUGUGAGGGCCUGAAGGGUGAAGCUCAGACAGGCUGGAGCAGUAGGUUAUAGAUUAAGAAAGGGAGACUGUGUAAACAGUGGUGAGCUGGACACAGAGGAAUUAUUGAUCUGAUCUUAUGGUGCAGAUGUAGAAGGAGAAGAGCCCUCCUUUUCCCCUCUGCUCCCUGGGACAGGGGACUUGUGUCACGUGGACUGUGUCUUGGCGGCUGGGCCUGUCAGGAUUGAGUCAGCAGAGUUACCCAAUGCUCUGCGGUUUGUUUUUGCCAGGUCAGGGAUACAGUAGUUCUGCAGGCAGUCUCUUAUAUCUGAGACUGAGAGAAAAUGGGGAGAUGGGUUAACAGUCUUCACACGAGUGACCAGACACUAUUGGCUCAGGAUCUCAGCCAUGAAUAGUGGGAUGCUUGCCUCUCUAUGCUUGGUCCUUGGUGUCUGGCCUUGGGCCAUGAUGUCAGCCUGGCUAGGCUGGCACAUGUAGCCUGGAAUGGGUUGGCGCACAUUGCCUGGAAUGGGUUAGGCUUCUGCUUCAGACAGUAAGGAAGGGAACUGGCUAGUCCUUCCUGAAAUAGUGCCCACAGGCUGGCAGUGCACUGACUGGCACCUGCCCCUUUCAGAGGUGGGCUGGGGAUAAUUGUAGAAAUUUUUCAGUGUAUGGGUUGUGAGAGUACCCCAAGCACUGUCAGGCCAGAACAUCAGUGGAGUUUGCAAAGAAUGGGUUAACUAUUAGAAGAAAAUAUUUCCAAAAGUAAGGUAAUCCCGAGUGCAGAUGAGAAAAGAUGGGUAAAUUUGACUUUUUAAAGAUUUGGAAUGUCUGUAUCACUAAAGACAAAAAUGCAAAUAUAAUUAAAAGAUAAAUGGGAGACUGGGAGAAAAUAGGCCAUGUGUAAUAGACAAAGGAUAAAUACAGAGAAUAUAAGGAGCCUUCUGCAAAACAAUGCAAUAUUAUUUUCUCCCAUUAGAUUGGCAGAAAUUAAAAAGAUUAAUAAUCUGUUUUGAUAACUGAGGAAAAUGGGUAUCAUUUAUAUAUGGUGAAUGUAUUUGUUCAGACCUUUUUGGGAGGGCAGCUUGGCACUAUUUAUGUAAAUAAGGCCAGGUAUCUUUGAUUCAGUAAUUCUGUGUCUAGCAAUAUACACAUGUGUACACUCUCAUCCCAUCAUUGUUAGUAAUAGUUAAAAUAUGGAAUAAUUAAAUACAUGGUGGUAUAGCCAGCAUAUGGAAUAUUACGCAACACCUAAAAAAAUGUAGAUUGGUAGGCAGCUGAUGUGGGAAACUCCCCCUGAUAUAUUUUUACUGAGAAAAAUAAAUUAUAGAAAUACCACAUUCAUGUAAAAAAAAAAACUUGCAAAACUAGAUAUAUUUCUAUAUGUAUUGUAUUUUAUAGAUUCUGUAUGUGUUGUGCGUAUGAAAUCUCUGUAUAAAAUCAUUUCAAUUCAAUCCAUGCUUUUCAUGGAUUCUAAAGCAUGUUUUUCACAUGUCAACAUUUCUAAAAUCAGUAUAUCUAACAAGUGGUGGCAUGGUUUAAUAGUUAAACUUUUUUUCUUUCUUGGUGAAGCAUAAUGUAUAUUCUAAGUGAUAAGAUUAGAUUUAAUGGCCAACGAUACAUAAAUGCAUUGAUAAAGGACUCUUGGGAAGGACUGAGAUGGGAUUGAGGAGAUGUCAAUAGACACUUGACUUUACUGUAUUAUAUGUAUUAUUUGAAAAAAAAUUUUUUAACAGUGAAAAUGAAUUCCCUUCUCUGAACCAUAUCUCUCUACCUCUGACCUUAUACUUGAUACUGAGCUUCAUCUGAGAACUUUAAGGCCCAGACAGCUAAGAGAUUGUUCAGCUCCAUUAAAAAGCUAAGUAGCUUUAAGAUUCAGUGAGAGAGAAUUGUGUGCUGAGGUCCAAGGGGGAACAAGACUCUAGAGCCCAGGGCCAGUGCUCCAUCUUAACCUCCACUGUCUAUGUGAAGAGGCUGAAGGUUUCAAUCUACAAGUUGGUGCCUGGUUAGCCAGGGGUAAUUACUGCAGGGUUCCCCAUCUACCUAUUGGGGCUUCCCUCUGGCAAACCCAGUCGGUGGUAUCCCAUCCACUGUUUGGAUGAGGAAAUUGUAUGGUGAGACAGAAGA